GACGAACGCUGGCGGCGUGCUUAACACAUGCAAGUCGAACGAAAAGAGGGAAAGAGCUUGCUCUUUCCGGAAUUGAGUGGCAAACGGGUGAGUAACACGUAAACAACCUGCCUUCAGGAUGGGGACAACAGACGGAAACGACUGCUAAUACCGAAUAAGUUCCAAGAGCCGCAUGGCCCAUGGAAGAAAAGGUGGCCUCUACCUGUAAGCUAUCGCCUGAAGAGGGGUUUGCGUCUGAUUAGCUGGUUGGAGGGGUAACGGCCCACCAAGGCGACGAUCAGUAGCCGGUCUGAGAGGAUGAACGGCCACACUGGGACUGAGACACGGUCCAGACUCCUACGGGAGGCAGCAGUGGGGAAUCUUCCGCAAUGGGCGAAAGCCUGACGGAGCAACGCCGCGUGAGUGAUGACGGCCUUCGGGUUGUAAAACUCUGUGAUCCGGGACGAAAAGGCAGAGUGCGAAGAACAAACUGCAUUGACGGUACCGGAAAAGCAAGCCACGGCUAACUACGUG
rnacentral:rRNA from 1 species